AGUGAACGCUGGCGGCGUGCUUAACACAUGCAAGUCGAACGAGAACGGGUUAUAGCUUGCUAUAAUUGUCAGCUAAGUGGCGCACGGGUGAGUAAUGUAUAGGUAAUAUGCCUCUUACUAAGGGAUAACAAAUGGAAACGUUUGCUAAUACCUUAUACUCCUUAUUAACAUAAGUUAAUAAGGGAAAGAUUUAUUGGUAAGAGAUUAGCCUGUAUUGUAUCAGUUAGUUGGUGGGGUAAUGGCUUACCAAGACUAUGACACAUAACUGGUUUGAGAGGAUGAUCAGUCACACUGGAACUGAGACACGGUCCAGACCCCUACGGGAGGUAGCAGUGGGGAAUAUUGCACAAUGGACGAAAGUCUGAUGCAGCAACGCCGCGUGGAGGAUGACACAUUCCGGUGCGUAAACUCCUUUUAUAUGAGAAGAUAAUGACGGUAUUAUAUGAAUAAGCACCGGCUAACUCCGUGCCAGCCGCCGCCGUAA
rnacentral:rRNA from 1 species